CCCAAUCCCCUCCCCGCUAGGGUUUUCCAACCAUGGCGUCGGCGUCGCGCGCGCUCCUCCUCUCCAGGGCCUCGCCCCUCCACGCCGCCGCCUCUCGCUUCCUCCGCCCGCUCGCCGCCGCGGGGAGCCUCCUCCCGGCGGCGCUGGUCCCGUCCCACGCCGCGGCGCCCUGGGCGGCGGCGAGGCGAUUCGCGACGCAGCCCGCCAACUCGUCGCUGCGGGACUCGUCCCCGAACUGGAGCAACCGCCCGCCCAAGGAGACGAUCCUCCUCGACGGCUGCGACUUCGAGCACUGGCUCGUCGUC
rnacentral:lncRNA from 1 species